UGGAUCACAGGACCCCUUUACACUCAUAAAUAAAUUAUUGAUGUACCAGAGAGCCUGACCCUGACCCAAAGUAAAUUCCCAGGAGACAUCUUUCCUGGGUUUUGGAUUUGCCGUAACAGGCACGAGCAUUCUCGCAGCAGUUUGGUGAUCAUGUACCAUACUGCAAACAGGA
ensembl:scaRNA